rnacentral:rRNA from 1 species
GUUGCCAUCGGGUAGAGCCGGGCACUCUGGAAGGACUGCCAUCGACAAGAUGGAGGAAGGUGGGGAUGACGUCAAGUCAUCAUGGCCCUUAUGUCCAGGGCGACACACGUGCUACAAUGGCCGGCACAACGGGAAGCGAGUUCGCGAGGACAAGCGGAUCCCUCAAAGCCGGUCGCAGUUCGGAUUGAAGUCUGCAACUCGACUUCAUGAAGCUGGAAUCGCUAGUAAUCGUGGAUCAGCCAAGCCGCGGUGAAUACGUUCCCGGGCCUU